rnacentral:lncRNA from 1 species
GUUCAGUUGCACAUACGCCUUGCCUGGAGGUGGGAGGUGCGUGGAUAAUUGGAGACAUUAUUAAAGAGGCUCAUGAGAAGAGGAUGGAGGAGGUUGAUCCUGGUUUGGGAAGCUUCCAGCGUGGAAUGAUUACAAUAGAAAGAAGCUGUUCUCCUGAUUCUUCCUGAUGCUGACACAUCUUCUCUUUUUAAAAACAAUAGCAUGGCACCUUUGAUUACUGUUAUAAAGU